rnacentral:misc_RNA from 1 species
GAUGAAGAACGCAGCGAAAUGCGAUAAGUAGUGUGAAUUGCAGAAUUCAGUGAAUCAUCGAAUCUUUGAACGCACAUUGCGCCCCUUGGUAUUCCAUGGGGCAUGCCUGUUCGAGCGUCAUUUGUACCUUCAAGCUCUGCUUGGUGUUGGGUGUUUGUCUCGCCUCUGCGUGUAGACUCGCCUCAAAAUAAUUGGCAGCCGGCGUAUUGAUUUCGGAGCGCAGUACAUCUCGCGCUUUGCACUCAUAACGACGACGUCCAAAAGUACAUUUUUACACUCUUGACCUCGGAUCAGGUAGGGAUACCGCUGAACUUAAGCAUAUCAAUAAGCGGAGGA